GAUGAACGCUGGCGGCGUGCUUAACACAUGCAAGUCGAACGGUGAAGCAGGAGCUUGCUCCUGUGGAUCAGUGGCGAACGGGUGAGUAACACGUGAGCAAUCUGCCCUGGACUCUGGGAUAAGCGUUGGAAACGACGUCUAAUACCGGAUACGAGGCGUGGGGGCAUCCCCAACGCCUGGAAAGAAUUUCGGUCCAGGAUGAGCUCGCGGCCUAUCAGGUAGUUGGUGAGGUAACGGCUCACCAAGCCGACGACGGGUAGCCGGCCUGAGAGGGUAACCGGCCACACUGGGACUGAGACACGGCCCAGACUCCUACGGGAGGCAGCAGUGGGGAAUAUUGCACAAUGGGCGCAAGCCUGAUGCAGCAACGCCGCGUGAGGGACGACGGCCUUCGGGUUGUAAACCUCUUUUAGCAGGGAAGAAGCGAAAGUGACGGUACCUGCAGAAAAAGCACCGGCUAACUACGUGCCAGCCGCCGCGGUAAUAC
rnacentral:rRNA from 1 species